UUUGUUUCAGGUGAUGGGGUUCCACCUAAAAAAAACCGCCGUAUCGGCUGAUGACUCCUACACAGUA
rnacentral:ncRNA from 2 species